AGAAAAAUCUAUCGUGUUCAAGACACGAUUGAAAUUGAAGAGAUGCAUUUGAAGGAAGACCGGGAGCGUGAAGAGCGUGAGGAAGAGGGCAACAAACAAAGCUCAGAGGACCUUGAAAAAUUUACGUGGGAGUAUGUGAAUUUCAUGUCCCUAAAUGAGGAAAACAACGAGGUACUCAAGUACUAUGAGGAUGAGAAGGAAAAGCUUAAAAAGAAUGCAGACCGCAUGGAGGAGGAGAUACAGAGCAUGGCUCUCUGCAUUGAAGAAGAGCAGGAGAAAAAAAACAAAGUCAAAGCAGAAGUGGAGAUGAUAAAUAAUGUCAAGGACUCAAGGAGAAUGAAAAUAUGGACAAAGACCGAACAGUUGUGUGAGGAGCUUGCGAAGGUCCAAGCGAGCUAUGGGGAGCAGGCCAACAGCCCUGCGUAUCCAUUGAUGAUACUGCUCCAGUUGGAGGACUGGAUUUCUGACUCUCUGGAUUUGAUCGAAAACAUGCCAGCUGAGAGGCUCUGCAAAAUACAAAAGCGGAUUUGCAAACAUUAUGAAAUCAGGGAACAGGAACAGAAACGUAUUAGGCGUGAAGCUUUAUUAGAAGAACGGAGGCAGAGAAGACAGGAGAGAGCACUUUCUCAUUCAGUGAAACUGACCGGAAAAAAGCUGAUGCCACGUAGCCAGCCUCCGAAGAAGAUAAGAAAGAGAGAGGAACCAGUGGAAACCAAGAAGACAAAGGAGGAUUUAUACGCUCACUUUGUGGAAUAAUUCGCCUCCGAGCUCCUCCACGGCCUUCUCCAGUGCCCUGUCAUCCUCCACCGAGAAGAAAAACCUCCAGUACCCACUGUGCAAACAAAAAAAACAAUAACCCUUAGGCAACUUAGAUAUUAGGAAGAUAAUUGAUAGUAGAUAGACAUCUUAGAUUUUGGUAAAAUAUUAGUGAAUAAUUGAUAGUAGUA
rnacentral:lncRNA from 1 species